GCUGCUUCCACAUGAAGCUCCAUCAGUGCUAAAAAGUACAUAAAAGUAUUAGAGCAACAUUUGUUCCCAUCCAGACAUGUCGUUCAGGGAUUGCCUUCCUGAUUUCAGAAAGACAAUGUUUAACCACACAAUGCAUCCAUCACAACAAUAUGGCUGAACUGUCCUGUCUGCAGUCCAGACCUUUCACCAAACAUCAAAUCUUUUUCUUGCUGUCAUCAAAAUCAGAAUGAGCUAAUAUGUUCCACGAAACAGUAAAAUGUCUUAGUUUCAACAUCUGAUAUGUUGUUUAUGUUUUUUCUUUUAAAAUGUGGGUUUAUGAAAUUUGCACAUCAUUACAUUCUGUUUUUGUUUUGUUUUUUAACUUGUCCUGUCCAGCAAGCAAAAUGAUAAUCAGGUUGCUGUAUCGUUCUGAACAAAUGUGCUCUGCCAAGGGGAGGCCUAUUGGCAAGGCUCCUCUUGGUAAUCUGAUUAAUUUAUUUAUUUAUUUACU